CAGCUCACGGCAACACCUGAUCCUUAACCCACUGAGCGAGGUCAGGGAUCUGCAUCCUCAUAGAUGCCAGUCAGAUUCAUUUCUGCUAAGCCACAAUGGGAAGUCCCUAUUUUUGGUGUUUUAAAUGACUUCUCUUAUAAAAGGCAAUGCCUGCUUGUUCAGCAGAACUAAUACCUUCCCACUUUAGCUUUUACAGGGAACUCAAGACAAGUGAUGCAGAAAGGUCCGGGUCUGGCAGCCGGGCAUUCCUUCAGCACAAGACACAGACUACACUGUCACAACUGCCUCCCCAUCUCUGCAAAUCUCCAUCCCACUGUGUUUCCAAGGGGGAUUUCAAAAGGUACACGUCGGCACGCAUCUCCUUCUCCUCCCAUUGAGACCCAAACACAAGCCUACAUCUUGUAAAUACCCACUCUUCUACACCUCGCUUUGUUUGAUGGGCACAACUGGACUCGCGUCAUUCUUCAUGCUGUGGUGUACUGGCUCAGGAGGCCAAUCUGGUCUGCCGCUUCUUUCUGAAUGUGCACAGUUCAGUUCCAGCAUUUGCUAUGAAAUCAGACGUGCAGUUAGAGCUAAGG